rnacentral:tRNA from 1 species
GGGGCUAUAGCUCAGUUGGUAGAGUGAGUGCUUGCCUUGCAUGCACAAGGUCCUGGGUUCAAUCCCCAGUAACACACA